rnacentral:rRNA from 1 species
AGAGUUUGAUUCUGGCUCAGGAUGAACGCUAGCGACAGGCUUAACACAUGCAAGUCGAGGGGCAGCGGAGGCGAGUGCUUGCACUUGCCAGACGGCGACCGGCGCACGGGUGAGUAACACGUAUGCGACCUGCCCGUAGCAGGGGGAUAAGCGGAAGAAAUUCCGUCUAAUACCGCGUAAUAUCUUUCGGGGGCAUCCCUGAGGGAUUAAAGGAAGCGAUUCCGGCUACGGAUGGGCAUGCGGCGCAUUAGCUAGUCGGCGGGGUAACGGCCCACCGAGGCGACGAUGCGUAGGGGUUCUGAGAGGAAGGUCCCCCACACUGGUACUGAGACACGGACCAGACUCCUACGGGAGGCAGCAGUGAGGAAUAUUGGUCAAUGGGCGAGAGCCUGAACCAGCCAAGUCGCGUGAGGGAAGACGGUCCUAUGGAUUGUAAACCUCUUUUGUCGGGGAGCAAAAAGGCCUCGUGAGGCCACAAGCGAGAGUACCCGAAGAAAAAGCAUCGGCUAACUCCGUGCCAGCAACCGCGGUAAUACAGAAGAUGCGA